AAGACUAUACUUUCAGGGAUCAUUUCUGUAGUUUCUGACUUGACAAAUGUGCUUCUAAAGUGUAUGAUCUCGCUAACCAUGAUGAUGAGUUAUGAUAUUUCCUUCUGAGCAUGAAGUGGACAGAGAUUAAUUUCAUAUGUUCUCUGUCAUUGAUGAUUGUUCUUUGCUUCUUCAUGGUGUAAUGAAAAAGGGAAUAUGUUCAGAGUGGU